GAAUUCGAUUAACGCGAAGAACCUUACCCAGGCUUGAACUGCGAGUGACAUCCUACGAAAGUAGGCUUCCGCAAGGACACUCGUAGAGGUGCUGCAUGGCUGUCGUCAGCUCGUGUCGUGAGAUGUUGGGUUAAGUCCCGCAACGAGCGCAACCCUUGUCUUCUGUUGCCAUCGGGUUAUGCCGGGCACUCUGAAGAGACUGCCGGUGACAAACCGGAGGAAGGUGGGGAUGACGUCAAGUCAGCAUGGCCUUUAUGUCUGGGGCCACACACGUGCUACAAUGGCCGGUACAAACCGUCGCGAGCCCGCGAGGGGGAGCUAAUCGGAGAAAGCCGGUCUCAGUUCGGAUUGUAGGCUGCAACUCGCCUGCAUGAAGUUGGAAUCGCUAGUAAUCGCGGAUCAGCACGCCGCGGUGAAUACGUUCCCGGGCCUUGUCACACCGAAUCACUA
rnacentral:rRNA from 1 species